rnacentral:rRNA from 1 species
GUAGGUGGCAAGCGUUGUCCGGAAUUAUUGGGCGUAAAGCGCGCGCAGGUGGUUCUUUAAGUCUGAUGUGAAAGCCCCCGGCUCAGCCGGGGAGGGUCAUUGGAAACUGGGGAACUUGAGUGCAGGAGAGGAAAGUGGAAUUCCACGUGUAGCGGUGAAAUGCGUAGAUAUGUGGAGGAACACCAGUGGCGAAGGCGACUUUCUGGCCUGUAACUGACACUGAGGCGCGAAAGCGUGGGGAGCAAACAGGGAUUAGAUACCCUGGUAGUCCACGCCGUAAACGAUGAGUGCUAAGUGUUGGGGGGGUUUUCCGCCCCCUCAGUGCUGCAGCUAACGCAUUAAGCACUCCGCCUGGGAGUACGGUCGCAAGACUG